AUGAACGCUGGCGGCGUGCCUAAUACAUGCAAGUCGAACGAAACUUCUUUAUCACCGAGUGCCUGCACUCACCGAUAAAGAGUUGAGUGGCGAACGGGUGAGUAACACGUGGGCAACCUGCCCAAAAGAGGGGGAUAACACUUGGAAACAGGUGCUAAUACCGCAUAACCAUAGUUACCGCAUGGUAACUAUGUAAAAGGUGGCUAUACUACCGCUUUUGGAUGGGCCCGCGGCGCAUUAGCUAGUUGGUAGGGUAAAGGCUUACCAAGGCAAUGAUGCGUAGCCGAAUUGAGAGGUUGAUCGGCCACAUUGGGACUGAGACACGGCCCAAACUCCUACGGGAGGCAGCAGUAGGGAAUCUUCCACAAUGGGCGAAAGCCUGAUGGAGCAACGCCGCGUGGGUGAAGAAGGUCUUCGGAUCGUAAAACCCUGUUGUUAGAGAAGAAAGUGCGUGAGAGUAACUGUUCACGUUUCGACGGUAUCUAACCAGAAAGCCACGGCUAACUACGUG
rnacentral:rRNA from 1 species